UACAGAUAAAAUUGCCGCGAAUAGUAA
rnacentral:sRNA from 1 species